GAUGAACGCUGGCGGCGUGCCUAAUACAUGCAAGUCGAGCGAACGGACGAGAAGCUUGCUUCUCUGAUGUUAGCGGCGGACGGGUGAGUAACACGUGGAUAACCUACCUAUAAGACUGGGAUAACUUCGGGAAACCGGAGCCAAUACCGGAUAAUAUUCUGAACCGCAUGGUUCAAAAGUGAAAGACGGUCUUGCUGUCACUUAUAGAUGGAUCCGCGCUGCAUUAGCUAGUUGGUAAGGUAACGGCUUACCAAGGCAACGAUGCAUAGCCGACCUGAGAGGGUGAUAGGCGGCACUGGAACUGAGACAGGGUCCAGGCGCCUACGGGAGGCAGCAGUAGGGUAUCGUCCGCAAUGGGCGAGAGCCUGGCGGAGCAGCGGCGCGUGAGUGAUGAAGGUCUUCGGAGCGUAAAGCUGUGUUAUUGGGGAAGAACAUAUGUGUAAGUAACUGUGCAGAUCUUGACGGUACCUAAUCAGAAAGCCACGGCUAACUACGUG
rnacentral:rRNA from 1 species